rnacentral:rRNA from 1 species
UACGAAGGGGGCUAGCGUUGCUCGGAAUCACUGGGCGUAAAGCGCACGUAGGCGGAUCUUUAAGUCAGGGGUGAAAUCCCAAGGCUCAACCUUGGAACUGCCUUUGAUACUGGGGAUCUCGAGUCCGGAAGAGGUGAGUGGAACUGCGAGUGUAGAGGUGAAAUUCGUAGAUAUUCGGAAGAACACCAGUGGCGAAGGCGGCUCACUGGCCCGGUACUGACGCUGAAAUACGAAAGCGUGGGGAGCAAACAGG